UACAGAGGUCCCAAGCGUUGUUCGGAUUCACUGGGCGUAAAGGGUGCGUAGGCGGUCGGAUAAGUCUGAUGUGAAAUCUUCGAGCUCAACUCGGAAACUGCAUCGGAAACUAUUCGGCUGGAGGAUUGGAGGGGAGACUGGAAUUCUCGGUGUAGCAGUGAAAUGCGUAGAUAUCGAGAGGAACACCAGUGGCGAAGGCGAGUCUCUGGACAAUUCCUGACGCUGAGGCACGAAAGCUAGGGUAGCAAACGGG
rnacentral:rRNA from 1 species